UCAUUUGCGGUGGCUUUGUUAGCGCAGCGUUAACGCGGAGCUAGGUUAUUGUUGCUCCACGGGCUACUGGUGCGCUAAAGCAGCGCAGCGGAAACCGUGCUUAAAAGUGCUUGCGAGCGCAAAAAUCAGUAUUUCACAGGAUAUGAGAAGAAACCUCGAGUGAAACACAUCUUUACAGCAAAGUGACGGUGUGAGAAGGAGGAUGUUCUCUGCCUUUAGGAGACCCACACCGUCUGCAAUGAUGAAAGCCAUUCAGCAAAAUCACAGGUCAACCAUCCACAGCAAACCUCCAAAGGAAAAGAUCGGACCCGUGCCGUGUGCCUUUGCCCUUUGUGUCCUUGCUGUUACUCUCCUGGGCCCGGCUGGAU